rnacentral:lncRNA from 1 species
CCUUCCUGACUUGCGACCCCAGACUCUAGAGGAGGGAGCCACGUUCUCUCCUACCCGUUCCAGUGCCUCUGAGGCCGUCAGCAAGGUCAUUCUGACAUGCAGCCAAACUGGAAAAUGGAGCUACAAAGAAACUUUGAGUGUGCUUACUUGAUCUCAGAGUCCCUACGAUUAAAAGAAAUGAACAGGUCCAGUGAAGGAUGUCAGACUAAAUCACCAGGAUGGAGAGCCACCUCCCACUCAGCCCCACACUGCUCAGUCUGGAGUCCUAGCAUGAGAAGGGAGUCCACCUACCCUGGAUUAGGGACGUGAACCUGCCUCAGGGAAUUCCUAAGCCCGGCUCCCGAGAGGCCUGAGGGCUUCUGUAAAUGGGCCAUCCCUGAGGGAAGUGACAGACCCAGACCUCUGAAGACGACCGGACCCUGCCUGCCAGCUAAGCCCACCUUUCUCAGGAUGUCCCAAGACCAGAAUCAUUGGUAUCCCCUGAGAACUUCUUAAAACACAACAAGGAGAAUCUGAGAAACCUUCACCGCCAAGAGGAGGCCAAGGAGAUGGCAACUAAAUUCAUUAUGGUUUCCUGGACAGGAUCCUGGAACAGAACAUUAU